UGGGGAAUUUUGCACAAUGGGGGAAACCCUGAUGCAGCGACGCCGCGUGAUUUAGAAGGCCUUCGGGUUGUAAAAAUCUUUUCUAUGGGAAGAAAAUGACAGUACCAUAGGAAUAAGGACCGGCUAAUUACGUGCCAGCAGCCGCGGUAAUACGUAAGGUCCGAGCGUUGUCCGGAAUCAUUGGGCGUAUAGGGUACGUAGGCGGGUAAGCAAGUUAGAAGUGAAAUCCUAUAGCUCAACUAUAGUAAGCUUUUAAAACUGCUCAUCUUGAGGUAUGGAAGGGAAAGUGGAAUUCCUAGUGUAGCGGUGAAAUGCGCAGAUAUUAGGAGGAAUACCGGUGGCGAAGGCGACUUUCUGGCCAUAACCUGACGCUGAGGUACGAAAGCGUGGGUAGCAAACAGG
rnacentral:rRNA from 1 species